rnacentral:rRNA from 1 species
GACGAACGCUGGCGGCGUGCUUAACACAUGCAAGUCGAACGGAAAGGCCCUGCUUUUGUGGGGUGCUCGAGUGGCGAACGGGUGAGUAACACGUGAGUAACCUGCCCUUGACUUUGGGAUAACUUCAGGAAACUGGUGCUAAUACCGGAUAGGAGCUCCUGCUGCAUGGUGGGGGUUGGUAAGUUUCGUCGGUUGGGGAUGGACUCGCUGCUUAUCAGCUUGUUGGUGGGGUAGUGGCUUACCAAGGCUUUGACGGGUAGCCGGCCUGAGAGGGUUACCGGCAAAAAGGGGAAUGAGAUACGGACCAGAGGGGAACGGGAGGAAGGAGUGGGGAAUAGUGCACAAUGGGAGGAAGCCUGAUGAAGAAACGCCGCGUGCGGGAUGAAGGCAUUCGGGUUGUAAAACGAUUUCGCCUGUGACGAAGCGUGAGUGACGGUAAUGGGUAAAGAAGCACCGGCUAACUACGUG